UACGUAGGGUGCAAGCGUUAAUCGGAAUUACUGGGCGUAAAGCGUGCGCAGGCGGUGAUGUAAGGCAGAUGUGAAAUCCCCGGGCUCAACCUGGGAACUGCAUUUGAGACUGCAUCGCUGGAGUACGGCAGAGGGGGAUGGAAUUCCGCGUGUAGCAGUGAAAUGCGUAGAUAUGCGGAGGAACACCGAUGGCGAAGGCAAUCCCCUGGGCCUGUACUGACGCUCAUGCACGAAAGCGUGGGGAGCAAACAGG
rnacentral:rRNA from 1 species